rnacentral:rRNA from 1 species
UACGAACUGUGCGAACGUUAUUCGGAAUCACUGGGCUUACAGGGUGCGUAGGCGGCCUUUCAAGUCAGGUGUGAAAGCCCUCGGCUCAACCGAGGAACUGCGCUUGAAACUGAAGGGCUCGAGUCAGCUAGAGGUGCACGGAACUUCCAGUGGAGCGGUGAAAUGUGUUGAUAUUGGAAGGAACACCGGAGGCGAAAGCGGUGCACUGGGGCUGGUCUGACGCUGAGGAGCGAAAGCGUGGGGAGCGAACAGG